GACAGAGGUGCCGAGCGUUAGGCGGAAUCACUGGGCUUAAAGCGUGUGUAGGCGGAUGGGUAAGUACCUUGUGAAAUCCCACGGCUCAACCGUGGAAUUGCUCGGUAUACUGCUCGUCUUGAGCCAACUAGGGGCGACCGGAACAAACGGUGGAGCGGUGAAAUGCGUAGAUAUCGUUUGGAACGCCGAUGGUGAAAACAGGUCGCUGGGGUUGUGCUGACGCUGAGACACGAAAGCCAGGGAGCGAACGGG
rnacentral:rRNA from 1 species